AGGGCUCUCCUGGUCCCCCAAAGAAUACUGGGGCUCCUCUGGGAGGGCUGGCGUUGGGAGAAGGGCUAAUGCCAUCGGGCCCCUAUCUCUUGUAGCCACUUCCCGUGCAGCCUCAUCCGCUCUCCGGUUCCCCUUUGCUUCCUCUGAGUUUCCCUUCUGAUGUCCUUGGCAGUGCAUUACAGCAACUGCCUUUGGCAACCAUAUGGCCUGAAGUAGGCCUAAUAUCUGUUCUUUGUUUUUGAUGGUUUUGCCUUCUGCUGUCAGCAGCCCACGUUCCUUAUAAAUGGCCCCGUGUACAUGUACAGUGGCAAAU